ensembl:snRNA U1 U1 spliceosomal RNA
AUACUUACCUGGCAGGGGAGAUACCAUGAUCACGAAGGUGGUUUUCCCAGGGCGAGGCUUAUCCAUUGCACUCGGGAUGUGCUGACCCCUGCGAUUUCCCCAAAUGUGGGAAACUCGACUGCAUAAUUUGUGGUAGUGGGGGACUGCGUUCGCGCUUUCCCCUG